UUCUGACCAGAGAUGGGACUUCAUUUACCGUCAGGUCGCGGGGCUGAGCGCCUCCAUUCAACCGCUGCCCGUGACGUCUGAGCGCCCGCCCACGCCUCUACUACGGAGCCAAUUAGGCUGAGGUUAAGGAGAGCCAAGAAGAGCGACUGCAGUUUAUAAUCAAACCCGAAGCUCCUGGAGCCACGUUAAGGAAUCCAGUCUCUCUUCCUCGGCCUCCUCAAGGCCUUUGCAGCACUUCUGCUCAAAAGCAUUUCCCUAAAUCCUCGAACUGGGUACCAGAUCUUUAUUCUGAAGGAAAAGAAGUUGCGGCUGGAAACAACUGAAGGCUGUCAGCACUGUGCCGUCAAUGAUGUAUAGCAGAUAAGUUUUGAGCUCAGUGACCUGCCACUUCCUCCUUUGGUCAGGAUAUGACUUCACAUCUACAUGGGUCUGAGCCAUCAACUGAAUGCUGCCAGAAAAGAACAAAUAAGAACAAGGAUACAAAAAUAAAUGCUGGGAGUCAAGUUACCCCAAGAUGUUCUCUAUAAUCGCUGUAAUGAUCACGGUACUGGGCAUCUGGCUUUGCUUCAAACUCUCCCCAUCGGCACUUGUCCUGCAAGGUGGGUUCUCCAGCAAGUUUAUCCCAGGCCAAGUAGUCAGAAGUACUCAUGGAACUAAAUUCAUAUAUCUGAAAGAUACGGAAGAGGUCACCUUGACCAUGGUCAGCCAAGCUAACGUUGAGAAGCCGGAAGAUAAUCAGCCAAUAAACCAUCAAAGAGAAUUAUAUUUUUAAUGUAAAAGGAAAUUAUUCUGAAUAAAUCAAUGAUUUCUUUGUCUUAGCCAUUUACAGUUAGAAUGGAACCACCUUCCUUUAAAAAAAAUUUCUUCUGUAGAAUUCAAAGACAACUCAAUUUGAUUUCAUUAAUCACUUAUUGUUGCUGUAUGGAAGUGGCAGAAGAAAAGAACUUUUAGAGAAACAGAACAGAUUAUCUGCAUGAGUCAUCUUCUAAAUUACUAACCAAAUCCUUCGUUUUCAGACAUAGCUCUCCGGAUUGACCUAGAAGAAUAAAAGAAACAGAUAUUUAAGUCUACACCUAGUAAAUAAUAUUUUCAAUCAAGCAGAAAUUAGAUUACUUAGACAUGCUUGCACUACGUUUAAGAGUAGAAAUACAUUCCACCCCUAACUAAGGUCUAUAUAUAGCCCUGAAUUUUCCUGACCCUAGAUGGCAAAGUACAAUUAAUAUAAGUAUAACCUUGGCCUGGAAAUUUUCACACAAUUUAGAAAAAUUUCCAUGCAACAUUCAUAAAACACACACAGAAAAGUGGGCCACUUUUACAUGACUGUAUCUCAAGAUAAUAAAUAGUUAACGUGGAAAAGCUCUUUUUAAAAUAAUUCCAUUCAAUAAAUACAGAAGGGAUGACUAAAUAUAAUCAUGUACAAUCCCUAAUGAAACAAUGGAUCUGGGCAAUAACCAACAGUUGCUGUUAAAACUUUUCAUUGAAAGGCUAAAAGGGCAACUUUAUGCUGAUAGCUGAGCCUGAUACCAUCUGAACCCACUAAGCACGUUCACAGUCAUAAAACUACAGACAACCAGAUAUAUGGGCUUCCAAAGUAAUGCAGCAGGAAGCCUACAGUCACUGAUAAACUACUUUUAAAAUACAUACACACAUAUCAAACUUGAACACUAUCAAGCCCAGAGACUACCUAAAGAAUUUACAGGAAACAUACAGGAUAGAAGAACAUGUUUUUUGUUUUUCUUUUUUUAAAUACCACAAUGAUGCAAUCAGCAAGAUUAAAAAAUGUGGAAAAUUCCUCAGAACAAACAAUCCAGUUUCUUCAACCAAUCAAUGGAGAAGGACCUAUGAAUUAAGAGACAUGAACUGAAUGCACUGCGAUGAUCCUGAUUGGAUCCUGAUUCAAAUUAACUAUUUAAAAAAAAAAAAGCACUUGAGGCUAUCAGAAAAAUUUUAGCAGUGACUAUAUAUUUGGUCAUAUUAUACAAUUUUUCUUAUUUUGUUCUACUGCACUGUGAGUGUGUGUGUGUGUGUGUGUGUAUACAUAUAUGUGUGUGUGUGUGUGUGUGUGUGUGUGUGUAUGCUUACUUUUCAGCAAUAUAUCUCCAAAUACAAAAUUAUGUGUCUCGUAUCUGCUCUACAAAAAUUGUGGAGGUUGGAGCACUAGGGUGUCAAUGGGUAGAAAUAAAAUAAGAUUGACUAUAGGUUGACACUUGUUCAAGCUUGGUGAUGUGAGUUCAUCAUUAUCUCCUCCAUUGUGUAUAAUUGAAAAUUCCCAUAAUAAAAUGUCCAAAACAGAAA